rnacentral:tRNA from 1 species
GGGCUGGUAGCUCAAUGGUAGAGCAGCGGCCUCUUAAGCCGUUUGUUGCGGGUUCGAGCCCCGCCCAGCUCA